GAAGGAUGACGGCCUGCUCGUUGUAAACUUCUUUUCUCGAAGAAGAAGCUCUGACGGUAUUCGAGGAAUAAGCAUCGGCUAACUCCGUGCCAGCAGCCGCGGUAAGACGGAGGAUGCAAGUGUUAUUCGGAAUGAUUGGGCGUAAAGCGUCUGUAGGCUGUAUAGAAAGUCUUUUGUUAAAUACCUCGGCUCAACCGAGAUCCAGCAAAGGAAACUUCUAUACUUGAGGUAAGUAGAGGUACAGGGAAUUCCCGGUGGAGCGGGGAUAUGCGUAGAUAUCGGGAGGAACACCAAUAUGGCGAAGGCACUGU
rnacentral:rRNA from 1 species